rnacentral:rRNA from 1 species
UACGGGGGGGGCAAGCGUUGUUCGGAAUUACUGGGCGUAAAGGGCUCGUAGGCGGCCAACUAAGUCAUACGUGAAAUCCCUCGGCUUAACCGGGGAACUGCGUCUGAUACUGGAUGGCUUGAGUUCGGGAGAGGGAUGCGGAAUUCCAGGUGUAGCGGUGAAAUGCGUAGAUAUCGGGAGGAACACCAGAGGCGAAGGCGGGCUACUGGGCUGAUACUGACGCUGAUGCGCGAAAGCCAGGGGAGCAAACGGG